rnacentral:other from 1 species
AAGUACCUAAAGGGACUAACUAGUCUGUUUUCAUAUAAAACCGACUAAUGUGAUAUCUUGGGAUCCUAAUUGGAUGGUGGUGUCGAAAGCCGGUCUUAGAAUCGGAAUCCUAAAAUCAUUCAUGUGGUACCCACCUCGUGCGAGCGGGUUUUUAUCACAAACCAGACUACCUUUUAGGUUUUAU